UACGGAGGGUGCGAGCGUUAAUCGGAAUUACUGGGCGUAAAGGGUGCGCAGGCGGCUUCGCAAGUCAGACGUGAAAUCCCCGGGCUCAACUUGGGAAUGGCGUUUGAAACUACGAGGCUGGAGUGUGGCAGAGGGAGGUGGAAUUCCACGUGUAGCGGUGAAAUGCGUAGAGAUGUGGAGGAACACCGAUGGCGAAGGCAGCCUCCUGGGCUGACACUGACGCUCAGGCACGAAAGCGUGGGGAGCAAACAGG
rnacentral:rRNA from 1 species